rnacentral:rRNA from 1 species
UCCUACGGGACGCAGCAGUGGGGAAUAUUGGACAAUGGGGGGAACCCUGAUCCAGCGACGCCGCGUGAGUGAAGAAGUAUUUCGGUAUGUAAAGCUCUAUCAGCAGGGAAUAGAAAAGAAGGUACCUGAGAAAGAAGCCCCGGCUAACUACGUGCCAGCAGCCGCGGUAAUACGUAGGGGGCAAGCGUUAUCCGGAUUUACUGGGUGUAAAGGGAGCGUAGACGGAAAGGCAAGCCAGAAGUGAAAACCCAAGGCUCAACCAUGGGACUGCUUUUGAAAAUGUCAAACUA